rnacentral:lncRNA from 1 species
AUGGGGAUUUGUUUGCCUAAUAGUAGAAUUCCAAUUGCUUUUGGAUUUGUAUGAUGCAGCUUACAUACUCCCAUCACCCAGUAACAUAUCAAUAUCAGUUACUGCAUCUGGCCGGGUUUAUAUUAUGCAUCCCUACUGAAAGUUUCAUUGUUAAAUAGAAACGAAGAUUACAGUUAUAGAUGAUAGAUAUAUGUAAUUGUGUGCUGCAUUCUCACUGCUUCCAGUAGAUAGUAUCAUUUCAGAGUUCACCUAAAAUUUGCAAUGUUCAAAUUUUUGGGAUCAAAAUACAACUUUUUUUAAAUUUAAGCCAAUAUAAAGUGUGUGCAGGUUGACUUUUAAAACAUUUUUGCUUACAAGAAGGUUAUCAGUUGUAAUGUUUAGCACCUACAUAACCUGAUGGUCCUGUAGUGACUUGGGAUUGGCAACUAAAGAAACAUGGGUAUCGAGCAUAUUAAUGUGAGAAGUAGAUAUACAAUAUGUUAUAAAGGAGAAGACAAGUAAAUAUUGAGUGUGAAAGAUAAGUAUGAUUUUUUUACUAUCAUAUGAAUUAUUGAAUUUAAUCUGGUAUUCAACCCCUCAAAAUUAGAUUUAAUACAUGCUACUACACCAUUACAUAUCUCUACUAUUAAAGGAGAAUUUGACAAGUAAUCAAGCAAGUCAGCACUGUCGUCGAUGGAAGUUGUCGUGCGGAGAUGGAAGUUGACAAGUAAGUUUCUCCAUGAAGUUGAUCUGAUGCGAAGCUUGUGCCAGAUAAAAGGUUAAUUGAGUUCUCAUCUCCAAUAUGUUUGCAUUCUAACUAUCCUUGUUGAUUCAGUGGUUCCAUGAUGCUACAUUUCACUUGUUUUUCACCUCUUGAUGCUACUAUGGACGGAAGGCGUUUGCUAAUUUGCACAUUAAUUUUUUUUCUGAUAAAAUGUGCCAAUAUCACCUGCAUUAUGCUUUUUAAAUUAUUAAUCCCUGCUAUAAUGUAACGUGCCCACAUAACAAGUAUUCCGCAAUCUUCGCAAGCAUGUAUUUGUUUGUCUAACUGUAGGUGAAAGAACAAGAUCCACUGUGUGUGCAACGGCAACAAUAAAUAUCAUGUCAUUAGGGAGACUUCUGAUAAUUCUACUCUGCAUUUUUUUUCUUUAGUAGAAGUGUUCUGCCGCAUUAUUCAACUAUGUGUGACCAAUCUGACACACCUCACGAGUUCUAUAUAUAUAUAUAUAUGGACUGAGCAAUUGAUUCAGGUCUUUUUUCAAGUGGGGAUGCAGAUUGGGCAUCAAGGUGUACGACAGAGGAUGACAAACGAUUACGUUCUGCACGUUAGUCCGCGUACAACUUAAAAGUUGAUUGAUACUUUUCAUUUUAUAUUGAUGGUCCCUCCAGCGAGAACAAUUUUUUGACUCGAUGUGUAGAUAUGCUCUUUUAUUUGUGCGAAGUUGUUCAGACUUUUCUUUGAUUCAUUAUUUUAGCUGCAUACAAAAGGAGUAUGAGUACUGUUUGGUUCCAUGCAGGACCAACCAAGGAAGAGAAGCAAAUCACAACCCUUUAGUUCAUGGUCUAGGAGCAGGAAGAUACACAUCCAUCUUUGUGAUAUUCUGGUAUGAAUAUGCAUGGUACUACGUACAGAAUCCCUCAAUUGUGUAGAUAGGUCAUCAAGUAAUAGUUAGUAAUUCAUACUUCUGCUUCACCUUUUAGUUAAUUAUCCGCUUUCAAGUAUUUGUUGCCGAAGUGAGCAUCUAAUUGCAGGAAUUCUGUGAGGUAACCAUCUCAAUCUUUUUGUCACAAGGCUCUUGCGCGGUAGAGAUUUUUGCUUGGUCAUAAAUGAAUUAGUUCCAUUCUUUGACAGUAAGAGAAUGGAGCCAGAUGGAGGAACAUCAGCAUUGAUGCCAACAUUUCCAUUCUCUUGUUGUAGUAGUGUCUUAAUUGGAAGAAUAUUUUGAUGAUGUUGAUUGCUUUCUAUUCUCAUCUUUUCAUUAUUUUAGAUCACUUUCUCGAUAGUUCAAUACUAUAUUUUUGGGAUUAACUGUAACAUUAUGUGAAUAUAUGUUUAUAGUUCUAAAAUCAGUGUUCAUCAGCAAUCAGCCUUCUAACUAAAUAAUAUUUUCGCAAGGGCUUCUCUACACUGGUACGGUCUCUCGCUGGUACAUGAUUUGAGGCAUAGGAGGGAGGGGCACGUUGCGAUGUCGUCUUUGGUCACGGCUAUAGCUUAUGAGAAGAAUGGGAUUUAUGCUUGGGAGACUGCCCGUGGUUAGCAAGUCAUUAUUGCCGCCUCCGCUUCCCAAGUUGCCUCGGCUUGCUGUUGGUGUCUGCUGCUUCUGCAGCCCCUGCCGGCCGCCUCUUAGGUUGGGUUUUGCUACCACUACUGAAGUUUCCAUUGCCUCGGCAAGGCGUCGUCGUCUUACUUGCAAGGCACACAUUGCACCGCGGGCAACAUUUUGCUAUGCAUGGCCACUCAUGUCAAAGCUGGGUUCCAGUUUGACGACCUCUCUAUCAAGUCUCCAUGUUCUUCUUCCCGGUACUUUCUCCAUCUGCUGUUAUAGUCUCUUGCAAGUACGGCUUAUCCAGUUUGAUGUCAUGUUGCUUCGACAGUUGUGUAUUAACCCCUUAGGAAGAAGAGCGGGGAGAUGGAAGUUGUAGGCGUGUGCCCCCGGCCGACCGUCGUUAGACCAGUAUGAGCUAGCGGCGGUGGUCGUCGAGGACUCUAAGCAUCCGCGGAUUGUCGUGGCGUAGUGGUGCCACCGAGGGCACCAACAUCAGCAGUAGAUGCAACAACGGCGGCAACGGUAAGAGACAUAGGCCAAGGAUAGGGAUAGAGCAACUCAGCCACAAUAAUUUUUUAUUAAUUAUGAGAUGUUUCUUAUUUAUUCUAGAUAUGAUCUACUCCCUACAUUUCAUAAUGUAGUGCUCUUGAGAGGUGGAGCAUUAAAGAGCAAAUCAACUGGGCCCAGGCCUUCAUGGCUUCGUCCCCUACUUUCUACUGAUCCAUGCCAACUGCGUAGUUAUUUACUUUGGAAAGGCCUAGAUAUAUUUCACAUUUAACAGAAAAGUUCACACUGCAAUUGUCUGUACAAAGUUAUGUUUUGUUUUCAUUAUUUGUUUAUGUAACUCAUUUUUGGACUUGGUACUCAUUUGACAAUAGUGUUUUUAGAUGGUGCUGGGGAAUAGAUUCAGUUGAGUGGUGGAGUUAGCACUUGCUCAUGGUCAUGGAUGACUCUUCCUCGUCGAUGGAUGUAUGUUUAGUACUCCGUCAGUUUCAUAAUUCUUGUCGUGCUUUUAGUUCAAAGUAAAACCAUGUCAAGAAUUAUGGAAUGGAGGGAGUACUUAUUUGCCGAACCGGAGUUAAUACGUGCAUGGUGUGUGGUAACUACUCUUGCAUUUGAAUUUUUUGUGUGCGUUUAGUCUUUUAGAGGCUUUGUACUCUAUUGAUACACAUGUGGCAUAUCUGCAGGAUAGAUAAUGUUUCAUUGGUAGCCCACACAGUGCAUCUAGAGAAAACAAUUGCUUUCAUCGGCAUACGGGGAUAUAUUCUUCAGUGGACAUUCAGCUAGAAUACAUAUGAAUUUUCCAUAUACUUAAGAGUUUUUUCUCUCAAGGGAGCUGCAUUUUUUUAGAAAGGGAAUAACACAUAUUGGUUGUUUUCAUGGUAUUAGCCACCUCUAUUGUGUGUCUCAAUCAUUUAAAUUUUGGGCAUUGUACUAUCAUGGAUCAGUUUUGCAAUAAAUUGGUAGAAGUUUUUGCCCCCAAGAAUAUAAUGAGAAAUAUUUGCCGCAACUAAACUUUGCUGAGCAUGUCUAUUAACACUUUCCUCUUCUCCUAUUAGAUGUAAUGAUGUAGACCAAAGCAACCCUCAUGUAUAUUGAUACUAUACUAGAAGGCCACUGAAGAAUUUUACAGAACAAGAGAAGAUGGCGUGCACCAUAUCUUUAAGAUGACUUCCCUCACCAUGUGGCAUGCACUUUUCGGUUUUACUUUAGCGCAAUUGCCAUGUAUGUAAGGGAUGCAAUUAGGCUGAAUAUUGCAAUUGUAGUUUUUUCUAAACUUUUUCAACAUCCCAGCAUUAGUAAAAUACUCCCCCCAUUCCAUAAUGUAAGACUUUUUUGCAAGUUAUAUGUUUGUACAUUAUAUUGCUGGAAAUCAAGAAUUUACUCUUUUUGACUAAUAUUGUGUUUUAAUAGUCCAUUUCCUUUGUUUCAAAGGGUUGCGAUAGUGAAUAAAGCAAGAGCAACACCUUGUUUGUCG